CAAGUUAGAGCUUGAUAUAAGCAUUUUAUUUACAUUAAAAGGUUAAUUGUGAUUCAAUUUAACUUGA
rnacentral:tRNA from 1 species